AUACGGAGGGUGCAAGCGUUACUCGGAAUCACUGAGCGUAAAGCGCGCGCAGGCGGCUAUUUAAGUUGGAUGUGAAAGCCUACGGCUCAACCGUAGAACUGCAUCCAAAACUAUUUAGCUAGAGUGUGGGAGAGGAAGAUGGAAUUAGUUGUGUAGGGGUAAAAUCCGUAGAGAUAACUAGGAAUACCAAAAGCGAAGGCAAUCUUCUGGAACACUACUGACGCUGAGGCGCGAAAGCGUGGGGAGCAAACGGGAUUAGAAACCCCAGUAGUCCC
rnacentral:rRNA from 1 species